UAACACGUGAGCAACCUGCCUUUCAGAGGGGGAUAACAGUUGGAAACGACUGCUAAUACCGCAUAACGCUGCGAUGGGGCAUCCCGAUGCAGCCAAAGGAGCAAUCCGCUGAAAGAUGGGCUCGCGGCCGAUUAGCUAGUUGGUGGGGCAACGGCCCACCAAGGCGACGAUCGGUAGCCGGACUGGGAGGUUGAUCGGCCACAUUGGGACUGAGACACGGCCCAGACUCCUACGGGAGGCAGCAGUGGGGGAUAUUGCACAAUGGAGGAAACUCUGAUGCAGCGACGCCGCGUGAGGGAAGACGGUCUUCGGAUUGUAAACCUCUGUCUUUGGGGAAGAAAAUGACGGUACCCAAAGAGGAAGCUCCGGCUAACUACGUGCCAGCAGCCGCGGUAAUACGUAGGGAGCGAGCGUUGUCCGGAAUUACUGGGUGUAAAGGGAGCGUAGGCGGGCGAGAAAGUUGAAUGUUAAAUCUACCGGCUUAACUGGUAGCUGCGUUCAAAACUUCUUGUCUUGAGUGAAGUAGAGGCAGGCGGAAUUCCUAGUGUAGCGGUGAAAUGCGUAGAUAUUAGGAGGAACACCAGUGGCGAAGGCGGCCUGCUGGGCUUUAACUGACGCUGAGGCUCGAAAGCGUGGGAGCAAACAGGAUUAGAUACCCUGGUAGU
rnacentral:rRNA from 1 species